rnacentral:rRNA from 1 species
UACAGAGGGGGCAAGCGUUGUUCGGAAUUACUGGGCGUAAAGGGCGCGUAGGCGGCCUGCUAAGUCGAACGUGAAAUCCCCGAGCUCAACUCGGGAACUGCGUCCGAUACUGGCAGGCUUGAAUCCGGGAGAGGGAUGCGGAAUUCCAGGUGUAGCGGUGAAAUGCGUAGAUAUCCGGAAGAACACCGGUGGCGAAGGCGGCCUGCUGGGCUAUGGCUGACACUGAGGCGCGACAGCGUGGGGAGCAAACAGG